AAGUCGUAACAAGGUUUCCGUAGGUGAACCUGCGGAAGGAUCAUUACCGGGUUCAGGGGGGAAACCCCACCACCACCCUACCUUACUACCACGUUGCUUCGGGGGGCCCGUCAAGGCCCCCGGAGGUCAAUCAAACUAUAUUUCUACAGUCGUCAGAGCGAAUGCGAAAAUAAGUAAAA
rnacentral:misc_RNA from 1 species